rnacentral:ncRNA from 1 species
UUUCGUAAGCAAAAUAAGGUUACUAAUUUAAAAUAAAAAAAUAGUAAGCAGAAGCAUUUAAAGUUAAAUAAUAAAACUUGGCUCUGAUUUCAGGUAUGGCAUGCACUAAGAAAUACACAUGGUUUUUGUUGAAAGAGGUGAGGUGGAAGGUGAUGUAUUAGUAGAUUAGUAUAAAACUACAAUGAUAUGGCUUUCUAGGAUGUUAUAGUAAACAUUAUGUCCUGAAAUACCCACUAACACCAGUGUUGAAGAUUAAGAGAAGAGCGAAAGUUCGUAUUAGCUUAGUGAAUAAAAUUUGGUUAAUUUGGUGCCAGCAUCCGCGGUUAAACCAAGAAAUUUAGUCAUUCUUUUGUGGUAAAAAGACAGUUAAGCAGAUAUAAAAAAGUCGUUAGACCCUUAAUAUAGGAGUAAAAUCCAAAUACUAGAAGUUAUACGGAUACGGCUUAAUUAGUGAAUGCUGAAGCUGUGAUAGCUUUAAGGGAAACUGGGAUUGGAUACCCCAUUAUUUUUAGUCGUAAAUUUAGUUUAGCUUACCAGAGUACUACGAAUAAAAAGUUUAAAACUCAAAGAGCUUGGCGGUGUUUUAGACCUCUCAGGGGAACCUGUCUCAUAAUCGACAAUCCACGUUAAACCUAACCUUUAAUGGCAAUUCAGCCUGUAUACCGUUGUCGCCAGGUAACUUCUUAAAAUAUAGUAGUUAGCUUGAAAAUUUUAUUAAUUAAAACGUCAAAUCAAGGUGCAGCUAAUGAAAAGGUGAGGAUGGGUUACAAUUACAUAUUUGUAAGUACGGAAAACAUUUGAAAGAAUGUAUUAAAGGAGGACUUGAAAGUAAUUUUGAUUAUAUAAACAAAAUGAAUACGGCUCUGAAACGUGCACACAUCGCCCGUCGCUCUCGUUGAAAAAUGAGAUAAGUCGUAACAUAGUAGGGGUAAUGGAAAUUGUUCCUAGGCUG